GCGGGUGUAGCUUAGUGGUAAAGCUCCAGAUUUCCAAUCUGAUUACGAGAGUUCGAUUCUCUUCACCCGCUCCA
rnacentral:tRNA from 2 species